GACAAUGCAGGCCCACACACGGCCGCCCAGACCGUUGAAAUCAUUAGCCAAUUGGGUUUUGAGGCGCUGAAACACCCUGCCUACAUUUCAUAGAGGAUACC